UCUGUGAGUGCAGUCUGCUAGUUGCUUUUGAAUCACUGCAAUGUCACAUAACAAAGGUUUUCAGACAGCUGCACCGGAAAGACAGAAACAUGAAAACAUCGGUGAGGCCUCACAAAUCAGGAGCAUUAUUGAACAACUUAGUUUGUCUGCCUCGAGAGGAAACCAGGAGAUGGCAAUGCCCAACUCGAGUCUCCCAGGAAAAUCGGGAGGGUUGACAAGUAGGCCUAUAGCCACACAGGAAAGACAGAAACCCCAAAGGAUACGCGUCAACCGUGAGAACUCAAAAAUCAGGAGCAUUAUUGAACAACUUGAUAAGUCAAAUUUCCUGGCAAAGAUGAAAACAAAAUGGGAACAAAACACAAAACAGACACCGUCUUUGACUGCAAAAUAUCUAUCACCUUUUGGAAACGUUGUGAUAGAUAGUUUAUGGAUAAUAGCACUUUUCAUCGUGGCAGUGGCCGUGUGUGUCUAUGCUGUUUUUUAUAGGAAAUAACUGAUGGUUCAUUCCCCUGGACAUGACGGCACAAAAGCACCCUUGAAUCAUAAAUCUACAAUCAAAACAAUGUUUUUUCCCCCUGAUUUUGAAAGUUUGGUUUUUGAAUUCGAGGUAAAAUUAGAUUAACUCGCAAAAUUAUGCAAGGCAGCAGUGUUCACAGAGUAGUGACUUUAUACUGUAUUUACCAACAGGGCACCAUGAACACUAAAUAGCAAACAUAGCAUAUGCAGUUAUUGUUUUUGAGUUGCUGCAAUGUGCUAAACCACAGCCCUUCAGGCAGCCACACAGGAAUGGUUGAAAUACAUCAAACACCAAACUUCACAUUCAAUCUGAGCAAUCUGAAGCUGUUAUUUAAUGAUAAAUUUAAAUAUUAAAACAUGUUACACUUCCACAAUA